rnacentral:rRNA from 1 species
UGGGGAAUCUUGCGCAAUGCGCGACAGCGUGACGCAGCAACGCCGCGUGGGGGAAGAAGGCCUUCGGGUUGUAAACCCCUUUCAGGAGGGACGAAGCUUCGACGGUGAAUAGCCGAUCGGAGUGACGGUACCUCCAGAAGAAGCCCCGGCUAACUACGUGCCAGCAGCCGCGGUAAUACGUAGGGGGCAAGCGUUGUCCGGAAUCAUUGGGCGUAAAGAGCGCGUAGGCGGUCCGGUAAGUCUGCUGUGAAAGUCAAAGGCUCAACCUUUGAAAGCCGGUGGAUACUGCCGGGCUAGAGUCCGGAAGAGGCGAGUGGAAUUCCUGGUGUAGCGGUGGAAUGCGCAGAUAUCAGGAGGAACACCUAUGGCGAAGGCAGCUCGCUGGGACGGUACUGACGCUGAGGCGCGAAAGCGUGGGGAGCAAACAGG